UCUGCACAUUGUUAGAGCUUGGAGUGGAGGCCGCUACUGGCCGAUGAACUCUCAAGUGUAGGUAGUGUGCUACACGAGGGGCAAGUCUUUCGCUAACACCACGAGGGUCUCUGGCCCGAUGAGUGGAGUUUGAUAGUAAUUCUUGCUACAAGU
ensembl:snoRNA SNORA62 Small nucleolar RNA SNORA62/SNORA6 family